CAGCAGCCGCGGUAAUACGUAGGGUGCGAGCGUUAAUCGGAAUUACUGGGCGUAAAGCGUGCGUAGGCGGUGAGUUAAGUCUGCUGUGAAAUCCCCGGGCUCAACCUGGGAAUGGCAGUGGAUACUGGCUCGCUAGAGUGUGUCAGAGGAUGGUGGAAUUCCCGGUGUAGCGGUGAAAUGCGUAGAGAUCGGGAGGAACAUCAGUGGCGAAGGCGGCCAUCUGGGACAACACUGACGCUGAGGCACGAAAGCGUGGGGAGCAAACAGGAUUAGAUACCCCCGUAGUCCCUGUCUCUUAUAC
rnacentral:rRNA from 1 species